rnacentral:lncRNA from 1 species
CCUAGUUGGAACAUAUAGAAACGGACUUCAGUUUACAAACACUUGAAUAAGAAGUUUCUGCAGAAAUAGAUAAAAAAUACAUGACAGCAAGUACCUCACAUCUUUUGAUUCACAAGAUCAGACCUGACAGUAACAACAACAACAAUAAUAACAUACCUAGUGAAAUCUUAUAAGUGGGGUCUUGAGAGGGUAAAGUGUAUGCAGACCUUACCCCUAUCCUGCGGAGGUAGAGAGGUAUUUUCAGAACGACCCUCAGCUCGAAUACACCAAACCAAAGUAGGUAUACAAAGGGAAAGCAUCAUUGAAGAAAAUAUAGGAACUAAUAUGGAAACAUAACAAUAACAAAAUAGUACGACAAUCGAAAUACCAUAUACAGCAGAUGAUGAGAUUGACAUGCUUUAACACUAAACUAUAAAACUAAUUAUUUAUCAUUAUGCAAUUUUCAAACCAACAACAUAUAUGAAAUCAUGUCUUUUUUUUCUAAAACACCAAGUUAACAGAUCUUCUUUCCACAUCCUCUCUUCUUUUACCCUUACUCUAGUUCAAUGGUUUUCUCAAACUCACGCUACCAAUUCAAGACUCCGACAACCAAAUUCACUUGAAGCCAAACCCACAGAUUACAGAAAAGUAUCAUCAGAAUCAACUGAUAUUUCAAGAGAAUAAAUCAGCAGCUCAACCAACUUUCCUAAUCUAAAGUAACUGUAAAUUAGAAUUAUAAAUUGAGGACAAGCCUUCUCAUAAUAGUUCAAACAAAAAAAGCAAGGACAAUGUAACAACCAUAGCUAAGAAAGCCCAGGUCCCUCCUCAAAACAAACAAUUUUUCUACAACCAAUACAAGGAAGCUGGAAAACCAAUUAUGCAAGGCAUGACAGUAAAUUAGAAAACAGAGAUCCUCGUUCUUCCAGAGUUAUACAAUAUGCCAACCAAACUAUCCUGUAGAAGGCAAAUAAUUGUAGUAUUGUUAGGUACAUGCACUAAAACAAUAAGAUGGAAGCAAGAACAAGGUUGAUAUAUCUAAAUUGCAACUAACUCAUUCUAAGGAAAGGGAAGAGAUUUUCCUGAGUCUCUCCUAAUCUCUCCUUUCAACAACAUAUCCAGCGUAAUCCCACAAGCGGGUUCUAGAAAGGGUACAAUGUAUGUAGACCUUUAUAACACUUAAAAAAACUGGUCAUAGCUUUUCUAAUAAGCGACUUAUAGAUUAAAGUGAGUAGUUGAUGGAAAAAUCAAAUGGGAAAACAACUUACGUUCACAUUUUUUUUCUAAUUCAAAGGCAAAUAAACACGCAUUAAUCAAAUGGGAAAACUUGUGUUGACAAUUUUUUUUUCUUUAUAGUGCAAUGCAAAUAAAAAUAGUAUUGGCAUUUAGGCAUCUUUAAAAAGGAUAAUUAGCAUCUCAUCACCAAAUACCUAUGAUAAUACAUAACAUGAAUUAGAUUAACCACAUUUACUAAAAAAAAUAUAAAUUAGAUGGAACUAAUCAAAGGAAGCAAUGAAAGUAUUUAUCUGAAUAACUAAUUAGCUCAACCAAAAGAUACAUCUAGAUAACUAAAGAAAAAAGCAGCCAAAAGUUAUUCUUUCCACCACCUAGUCAACAUUAGACUCAUCCACACUAUUUAUCUCGAAGAGUUAACAUGAAUCAGCUAUACAGUAAAACAACACAAAAAUAUAAAUAUCAAAUAUAAAAUUAAAAAAAAGUGUCACCAAUAAUACCGACAGGACAUGGUCAUUUGUAACUAUAACUCAUACACUGAAUCAACACCAUUGAAACGCUUCAAACCACAGAGAGCACUCAAAAUAAUACGUACAAAAUAAUAAAUCUAGCACCAGCAACGAUUAUUAAAAGUGUAACAGCAAGAUUAAAGGGACAAUGACAUUAACAGCAGCUGCAUAAUUGAUAUAGCUUCGAAAACAUGUAUCUGAUCAUGUACAGAGAGUAAGCAUUUCAAGCACCAACCAAUUAAGACUUCCCAUUGUCAACAGCUUCAUAACCACACUACUAACUACUAAAUGCAGCAAAAUAAAGGUAACAAAAAGACCAUAUCCAAAAUUACAGAAAAGAUAAAGGUGACUAUAUGUACCGGAAACAUGAUAAGUUCAAAUCUCAAACCAAUAGAAAGUAAAGGGUUUCAAAGAAAAUGAUCAACGACCACCGCUAGUGCAUUCACGAGCAAAAUUCCUGUCUUCACCACACUUAAAGCAACCAACUCCUCCUCCACCACUGCCUCUAGCAUAACCACCACCAUAACCACAGCUACCACCUCGGUCACCACCAACUAACCCCAAAAGCUGAACUAAUGUAUCUCGAAGAAUCGACAAAGAUAUAAAGCCGGGUGGAGCAUGGGCUGCCCCUGGCCCACCUGUUAAUGCGGCGGAAUACCUGGAGCUUUCUCAAUCUCAGGAGUUGAGACAAGAUCGGGUAAUGGAUCCCUAGCUUGAUCUCAAAAAGGGGCUGCUACUCUACCCUACCCCUGAUAUCUAGGUCAUCCUCGACCCCAAGCUAGAACUCAAGAAGCAGACCCAGGUCCCGAUCCCCAAAUCUCGAACCUCGUGUCCUAGCCAUCUACGUAAAAAGUGAACCAGUAAAAACUACAACCAACUUAGACCCAACGCACGAAAAUAGAUCAAGAAAAUGAGAUUGUUCCCUAAAAAUGCUCUGUAGCCUCCCGAAGAUAGGAUACAGACAUCUCUGUGCUGAUUUGCGAGACUUUACUAAAUAUUGGCUCUAGUACUAACAAUACCAGUGAGACCUAGGAUCUGAUACCAAUCUUUCACGACCCGAUUUAUCAAGUCAUGAUGGCGCCUACUUUAACCCACCAUUAGGUAAGCCAAGCCAUAGUCCAGAAUGAUAAGUAACGGGCUAACAAACAGAAACCAAAUAAAGGAUCAUGUAUAAUAAUAAUAAGUAAAAACUAAGAAAGGAGCAUAUAUAUUAUAUCAAAAUGAGAUGAGAAAAAAAAAGGACCAACUUAUAAUGAAGAGCCACUACUAAAGAUACCCAAAGUACUAGACAAAAAUAAAAUAAAAUUUCUAUAAUAUACACAAAUAGUCUCGAGUGCAAAAGACUAACUAGAGUAGAUAGAGAAAAAACAGCCUCGGAUGACAACAAGAUCACCAUGCUCUGAAUCAGUACUGAAAGGCAGGAAUCACAUCAAUGUCGACUGCUAGGGCCGGAUCUACAUCAAGAAAAAGAUACAGAAGUGUAGUAUGAGUACCAAAAACCACGGGUACUCAGUAGGCAUCAUCGGCCGACUGAGCUCAAUAUAGAAAAUUUAUAACUACAAUGUGAGGGAGUAAUCUGAGUCUUCAGUAAAUAGGGAUGGAAAGGCAACCAACUACCAAGCUACGCAACGGCUGUAAAGGAAUAAACAUAAGCGAUAUAGUAAAAUGAAUAAUGCAGUAAUAACAUUCAAAUCAAACAUAACCUAAAUGGGCCCCCAUAAGCCCGCUAGGCACAUAACAUAACCUAACUGGGCCCCAUAAGCCCGUUAGGCACACUGAAGAAGGCAAUUAACCCAUUCGUACCCCCAUAAGCCGGUGGAACACACAAGUAAUGACAAUAAACAUAAAUAAUCUAUAACGGCGUUGAUCCCCAUAAAUCAUAAUAGUCUUCCAGAUGUGUACCGGACUUGAACCGGCACCAAUGGGUAAUAAUGAGAGGCCAUAUAUAUAGAAUUCAUAAUCAGAUGCCGGACACGAAUCAGAACUCAUAGUAAUCACAAUAAUCAUUUGCUGGACUCGAACCGAAACUCAUAGUAACCACAAUGAUCAUUUGCCGGACUCAAACCGGAACUCAUAGUAACCACAAUAAUCAUAUGCAGGACUAGAACCGAAACUCAUAGUAACCAUAAUAAUCAUUACCGGACUCGAACCGGAACUCAUAGUAACCAUAAUAAUCAUUUGCCGAACUCGAACCGGAACUCAUAGUAACCAUACCCACCAAAAAUAUUAAAAUUUAUACCAUAUCAUAACAAUGUCAAUGUCUAAAUAAUCAUCCGUUAAUCUUAAUUCAAAAUAAAUAAAUUUAAGAUUUUGCAAUUUAAUUUCACGUUCUAAAAUAAUAGGUGUUAUUUUAUGUUAAAAGAUAAUAUUUCAAUAUUUAUUAAAACAGGGUCCUAAUCCGGAUAAAUAAGACAAUUCAUAUAUAUAUAUAUAAAAAAUACGUAUCUACAAGGAUUUAUCCGAAACUAACAUAAUAGUUAACAUUUUCAGAAAAUAAGCCCAAUCUAAAGAUAGGAUAAACCUAGCCUACCUGAACGCCAAAGCUAUAAUAUCUUCUUGUGAAGCCUCCAAAUAGUACCCCGCUAGAACUUGAGCUUGAAUUAAUCUUGAUUUAGAUAAUUAACUUCUAUUUGGAGAUCAAAUAAAUUGCCAAAAUAUUUCCUACCAUUUAACCCCUCCCAACGCAUCCACAAGAAUAUAUUUAAAGCUGCUGGCAGAACACCAACUCCAGCAUAACCUUUGAGCAGAAUAAGAAGAACUAUCCGAUUUGAUAAUUGGCUAUAUGACAAAAAGAAAUCAAAUAUUGGAAUUGAAAUCUUUCAGGAAAAGGAAAGUGGUACAGUUUAGUGGCCUAAAUGCCAUUCACUUAUUUUU